AAAAGAUUUAGAUGCACUAUUGUAAAGUGGUUGUUCCACUGGAUAUCAUAAGGUGAAUCCACCAAUUUGUAAGUCGCUCUGGAUAAGAGCGUCUGCUAAAUGACUUAAAUGUAAAUGUAAGAGGAAGAGGUCGGCAUACCCCCAAAUGUUUGUCCGCUGCUGUCUCCAUACCUGGAAAAGAGCCCGGUCGGCUCUUCUCAAGACCUCCAGGUAUCGACAACAAGCAGAUCGUCUCAGGCAGAGGGUAUGGCUGUCCCUCCGGUAUCGUCUCAGGCAGAGGGUAUGGCUGUCCCUCCGGUAUCGUCUCAGGCAGAGGGUGUGGAUGUCCCUCCGGUAUCGUCUCAGGCAGAGGGUAUGGCCGUCCCUCCGGUAUCGUCUCAAGCAGAGGGUGUGGCCGUCCCUCCGGUAUUGUCUCAGGCAGAGGGUAUGGCCGUCCCUCCGGUAUCGUCUCAGGCAGAGGGUAUGGCCGGCCCUCCGGUAUCGUCUCAGGCAGAGGGUAUGGCUGUCCACCCGUUAUCUGACCCUCCGUGUGGAGUCCCACAAACUUCCCCACUGCUUUAUCGGCCCAAGAUCUCCAAGAUCAUUUGCCCGUCUGUUGUCCGUAUUCUGUUGCCCCGUACCCUCCGUAUUCAUCCCACUUUUGUGUGUCAUUCUAUGUCUGACAGCCCUUUGUCUCCUUUUUCCAGGCCCACCCCUCUCCUCCGUUUCAUCGACGGCAAACCGGCGUACACAGUGAGGCGCCUCCUGAAGGUUUGACCGCUGGGCAGGGGAUUCCAGUACCUGGUUGACUGGAAGGGGGUUAUGGCCCAGAGGAGAGGUGCUGGGUCCCCGCUGGGGACAUCCUGGACCAGGCCUCAUCGCUGAGUUCCAACGCCGGCACCCCGGUCAACCAGAUGGAAGAACAAGAGACAGAACCACCCCUAGAUGGAACUACAAGAGACAGAACCACCCCUAGAUGGAACUACAAGAGACAGAACCACCACUAGAUGGGACAACAAGAGACAGAACCACCACUAGAUGAGAGAACAAGAGACAGAACCACCACUAGAUGGAACAACAAGAGACAGAACCACCACUAGAUGAGAGAACAAGAGACAGAACCACCACUAGAUGGAACAACAAGAGACAGAACCACCACUAGAUGGAACAACAAGAGACAGAACCACCACUAGAUGAGAGAACAAGAGACAGAACCACCACUAGAUGGACCAACAAGAGACAGAACCACCACUAGAUGGACCAACAAGAGACAGAACCACCACUAGAUGAGAGAACAAGAGACAGAACCACCACUAGAUGGACCAACAAGAGACAGAACCACCACUAGAUGGAACAACAAGAGACAGAACCACCACUAGAUGGGACAACAAGAGACAGAACCACCACUAGAUGGGACAACAAAUCAAAUCAAAUGUAUUUAUAUAGCCCUUCGUACAUCAGCUGAUAUCUCAAAGUGCUGUACAGAAACCCAGCCUAAAACCCCAAACAGCAAGCAAAGCAUGUGAAAGAAGCACGGUGGCUAGGAAAAACUCCCUAGGAAAAACUCCCUAGAAAGGCCAAAAACCUAGGAAGAAACCUAGAGAGGAACCAGGCUAUGAGGGGUGGUCAGUCCUCUUCUGGCUGUGCAGGGUGGAUAUUAUAACAGAACAUGGUCAAGAUAUUAAAAUGUUCAUAAAUGACCAGCAUGGUAAAAUAAUAAUAAUCAUAGUAGUUGUCGAGGGUGCAACAAGCACGUCCGGUGAACAGGUCAGGGUUCCAUAGCCGCAGGCAGAACAGUUGAAACUGGAGCAGCAGCACGGCCAGGUGGACUGGGGACAGCAAGGAGUCAUCAUACCAGGUAGUCCUGAGGCAUGGUCCUAGGGCUCAGGUCCUCCGAGAGAAAGACAGAAAGAGAGAACCACCACUAGAUGGAACAACAAGAGACAGAACCACCACUAGAUGGAACAACAAGAGACAGAACCACCACUAGAUGGGACAACAAGAGACAGAACCACCACUAGAUGGGACAACAAGAGACAGAACCACCACUAGAUGGAACAACAAGAGACAGAACCACCACUAGAUGGAACAACAAGAGACAGAACCACCACUAGAUGGAACAACGAGACAGAACCACCACAUCUGAUUCAGGUCUCCUCAGGUUCCUGUGGUAUUGGGAUUCUCUUGGCUCCAGCGACACAUCCCAUCAUAGACUGGACUGCUGGUGCCAUUAUGGGCUGGAGCCCAUUCUGCCACGCCCAUUGUCUGAAGUCAGCGCAGCCUGCCCCGGGACGUCUGCCUGUGGGCUCAGAGGUUGCCCCGGACCUCUCAGCCAUUCCCGCAGAGUACCAGGACCUCCGGGAGGUUUUCAGUAAGGCCCGGGCCACGUCACUUCCUCUGCACCGACCCUAUGACUGCGGGAUCGACCUUCUCCCAGCACCACACCGCCCCGUGGACAACUGUACUCUCUGUCGGGUCCAUAGACCAAGGCUAUGGAGGCCUACAGGACUCCCUAGCUGCAGGGUGUAUCCGUCCGCCUCCUCCGCCGGCGCAGGGUCCUUCUUUAUGGAGAAGAAGGACAAAACCUUGCGCCCUGUGCAUCAACUACCGGGGCCUCAAUGACAUCAUGGGGAAGUUUCGCUACCGCUACUUCCUUCGAGCCGCUCCAGGGGGCCACCAUUUUCUCUAAGUUGGACCUGCGGAAAGCCUACCAUCUGGUGCGGAUAUGGGAAGAGGACGAGUGGAAGACUGCCUUCAACACGGCCAGCGGUCACUACGAAUACCUGGUCAUGCCAUUUGGACUUACCAACACCCCUGCUGUGUUCCAGGCCCUGGUUAAUGACGUUCUCCGUGACAUGAAACGGUUUGUUUUUGUUCACCUCGAUGACAUCCUCGUUUUCUCCUGCUCCACCCAAGAACACGUCUGACAGGUCCUCCAGCGACUCAUGGAGACCCAGAUUUUUAUGAAAGCAGAGAAGUGCGAAUUCCAUCGCUUCACCAUCCCCUUCCUUGGUUACAUCAUCGCUGCAGGAGUGUACAGAUCAAUCGGAACAAUCUCGGGAAGGUGAGAGCGGUGGUGGAUUGGCCCCAGCCUACGUCCAGAGUGCAGCUGCAAUGUUUCCUGGGAUUUGCCAACUUCUAUCGCCGCUUUAGCCGGGGUUACAGCACACCCCUGUCUGCACUCACCUCUCCCAAGGUUCCGUUCACGUGGUCCCCAGCUGCUGACCGGGUGUUCCGGGACCUCAAGCACCUCUUCACCACUGCUCCCAUAUUGGUUCAUCCUGACCCGUCCCGUCAGUUCGUGGUGGAGGCCGAUGCUUCGGAUGUCGGAGUGGGAGCUGUCCUGUCCCAGCAAUCUGCCCUGGACCUCAAGUUACAUCCCUGCGCUUUCUCCCAUCGCCUCAACGCCACAGAGAGGAACUGCGAUUUGCUUUUCACCGGGUUUAACUUCUCCCUCUCCAACCGAUCUAAGAAUAUCAAGCCGGAUGCGCUGUCACACCCCGCGGCUACACCCUCGGACCCCAAGACCAUCCUUCCCACCUUGUGUCUGGUGACGGCCCUCAGCUGGGGAAAUAGGCAAGCAGGUACGUACGUGAGGCGCAGAGUUCCCAGUUCCCAGCCGAACCCUGGGGGGGCCCAGAUAACCGGAUGUUUGUGCCUGACGCUGUCCACUCCUCGGUCCUGGAGUGGGCCCACUCCUCCAGGCUUGCCUGUCACCUGGGCUCCAGUUGAACCCUGGCCUUUGUGCAACAAUGCUUUUGGUGGCCUACCAUGUUUCCGGACAUCUCCGCGUUCGUCGCCGCCUGCGCGGUCUGUGUGCAGAACAAGACUCCUCUGCAAGCUCUGGCUGGUCUUCUUCAACCACUGCCUGUCCCUCACCGUCCCUAGUCUCACAUAUACCUGGACUUCGUCAUGGUUCUUCCCCAUGGUUCUUCCCCAGUCUGAUGGCAACACCAUCAUCCUGUUUAAGACGGUCCCCUUUUCUAAUAGAGGCCGGGAUAUGAUCAAUACCCAUAGCUUGUAGGGAGGCAGGGUUGCCAUGGUGUAAGGACUUGUAGUGCCUUGCCAUGGGGUAGUCUUCAUUGCCUACCCGUAUAGCGUACUUGUGUUCCGCUAGGCGAUCUUGAAGGCGUCUCUUGGUCCGUCCAAUGUAGAACACCUUGCACUGUGGACAUUCCAAUCUAUAGAAGACAUGAGUGGUUUUGCAGUUAAUGAAAUGCUUGACGUAAUACUCCAUUUUGGAAGCUGUAUCAACAAAGUACUUUUUCUGUGCAAUAUUUCUACAAUGGUUGCACUGGUUACAUUUAAAAGAGCACUUGGGUUUGUGGUCAAGCCACGUUUUUUUGAGAGUCACCCGGAAGAUAACUGUGGACUAAUUUGUCCUUUAGGGUAGGACAUCUCUUAAAGCUUAUGACUGGUGGCUCAGGGAAGACUUGGCGUAGUAGCGUAUCACUUUGGAUGAUUCCUCAAUUAUUUUGAAUUAUUCUUUUAAUGUUCUCUGCUUCAGUACUGUAUUUUGUAACAAAAUACACACUCUCUCUCUUCAUGUAUCACGAGGCACUCCCCUUCGCAACAAGUUCUCUCUGUCAAGUAAUCCAGCCCUUAUACCUGCGGUCUUUCAGGACCUGGACGCUGUAGCCCCGAUUCAAGAAACGAUUCUCCAAUUCAGCAGAUUUGACACUAUAGUCUGUUUCCUGAUCGCAAAUGAGAUCCCCUGUAAUACAUUAGGUUCUAUAAAUUGUUUGCUUUUCGAAUGAACUUUGAGCUCUCUUCUCUCCCAUGUUUCAUUUGGGCAUUCUGUACCUAUUUGUUUUGUAAACAAAAGCCAGGAAUGUUUUGGUACAGAGAUUGUAGUUCAGCAGCUUCGAUGUACCGUAUGUGUUUUACUCUGCAAUAAAC
rnacentral:lncRNA from 1 species